rnacentral:rRNA from 1 species
CCCUUAGAUGUUCUGGGCCGCACACGCGCUACACUGAAGGAGGCAGCGUGUACUCCUGGAUCGAAAGAUUUGGGUAACCCGCGAAUCUCCUUCGUGCUAGGGAUUGAGGUUUGCAAUUAUCCUUCAUGAACGAGGAAUUCCCAGUAAGUGCAAGUCAUAAGCUUGCGCUGACUACGUCCCUGCCCUUUGUACAUACCGCCCGUCGCUACUACCGAUUGAAUGAUUUAGUGAGGACUUCGGACUGGGACCGAUGCGGCUUUCGGGCUGCGUCGGUAUUCUGGAAAGAUGUCCAAACUGUAUCAUUUAGAGGAAGUAAAAGUCGUAACA